AGUCAGUACAUCGGCUAGACUUACUUCUCAGCUUGGCUUCCCAGUGGCAUAGACUAUAAGGAAAAAAGCAACACAACUGUCACUGCUUCAGCUGUGAAAGACUGUGACAGGCCAAAGAAGAAAAAGGCCCAAAAUGAAACAACGGAUAAGGAAGCAAGUGAAACCCAAGUUGUACAUAAAAAGAGGAAAACUGAAAUUAAACAGAAAAAGAAACCAGUUAAAUAACUCAAUUUCUGUAUUCAUUUAAUACAUUUAUUCUCUGUACAUGUUUAUUCUCUUAAUUAAAUAGUUGAAAAGUUAAGGGAUAGUAAUUUAUUUUUUAAUAUGCAAUAACAUGCUAAUGCAAUAUCAUUAUUUGAAUACUAAAUAUCUGCUUUUGGUAUCACUAAAGGUAUAUCCUACUCUCUUUUUUGUUAUGCAGCACACCCUUUUCAUGCACACACCAAAACAAGCUAAUUAAGAAAUGUGCAACAGGCCCUAUGGUGCUUGAAAUGUUUUCUGCUGUUUAACCAUUGGGCCAGACCUACUUGUCAUUUUACUCCUCCUCAGGACACCACAGCAAAAGAACCCUUUCCACAUUUUACCCCUUUAAACUUCCCAUCGCUUAUGCAAUCGUGGCACCUGGUCAAGGUUAUUACUGUUUCAUUCACUUGAGAAAAAUGUUAUUCAUGCUCCAUUAAUUUAUUAGUCAUCUAGUUCAACAGCUGAAAUGCAGUGGCUGUAUUUAAUAAAAUUGAUGUUUUAUAUUU